AGGGGGGGAGAAGCACACUUGGUACAUUCCACGUCCUCCUGUUUCGACCAGUGACCCGGGUGCGCCUUCGGUAUCUAUGCCAGGCCUUGGAAGCCCGCCUGGGCUACGACGGGUUCCUGAAGAAAUCGAGGAAUGGCGCGGCCUGGCCUGGUCUUCUCUCCCUCUCUCUCUCCCCCCCCGCACCCCCGGCAAUGGUUUGGCCCGGAGCGGAGGCUGGAAGAAGCGGCCGGAAGCGGAAGAAGGGCGCGAGGGAAGUGGCGGUUGAGGGAGAAAAGCGCGGGAAGAGCGGCGGAGCCGACCAAGUGAGUAAGGCGGCGGGGGGGAGAUGGGGCUGAGAGGGGAGGCGGGAAGCAGAAGGGCGAGGCGAGGCGCGGGCCUGGAGGGGGAGCGAAGGGAGCCGGAUUCCCGCAGCCUCCGCCGGCUCGUCUCUCCCUCGGAAGAAUCCCGGGCUCCGCGCUGUCUCCCCCCCCCCGCUCCGCGGAGAUGGUCUGUCCCGGCCUUUCAAGGCGCCGCCGCUGAGGGGGAAGAAGGCGCUUCCUUCGAAGGCCUCUGGCGGCGGGAGGGGCGGGGGCUCCGCGCGGAGAAGCGCAGGGACGCCGAGGUAGGAGAAAUACCUGAGGGAGCCCGGCCUCUCGCGAGAAUGGGCCUCUUCCCGCGUGGUCGGGGGGGGGGCGCGGAGGCCGGCAAUGGAGGCGCAGCGGGGAGGAGGCGGUGGGGGGGUUGGGCUGGACGGGGCAGGCCAGCAACCACCACCCCGUCACUCUUCCAUGGGGAGCAGGGAUAUUUUGCAAACGCACAGUGAGUAAUUGUGAACGGAGAAAUCUGAGUUCUCCCUUGGACAAAAAACAAGGACCCCAGCCAGGAAUCCCAGAGCCAAACAACAGCCAGGAGGCUUGGUCUUGAUUGAAGACUGUCGGACAGGACUCCCACCUGCCACCAGGUGGAACAAGAUGGAAGCCCCGAACAAAAGGAGAACCCAAACUUUUAUUAGCUGCUCAUCCCCGUGUUACACCCCCCCCAAACUACAUCACUCAUACAUCAUGAAAGGGGAGGUCUGGUUCGCCAGAAGCGGCUUAGUCCUGCUAGCCAUAUGACCUAGAAGCUGUACGCCGGCUCCCUCGGCCAGUAAAGCGAGAUGAGCGCCACAACCCCAGAGUCGUCCGCGACUGGACCUAAUGGUCAGGGGUCCCUUUACCUUUAAUCCCCAUCUUACAUCCCCCCCAAACUACAUCAUGGUUACAUCACUAAAGGGAAGGUCUGGUGGCCGUAAUCUGAGCAUCCUGGACCCUGCCCCAUGGUUCCCCUUGCCCUCCACCAAACACCCAUCAAGUGGAACAAAAGAGAUAUUCACAUUUCCCUGUUUCCCAGCCAAGUUCAUCCCACCUUUUUGUCUUCAUCUGGGUUUGUUAUUUCUGGAAUGGCUACCUGUCUGGCACUCAGGUAUCAGGAGGCCAGGGAUUAUCACUCAGGCAGAGGGGCUGCUGAGGAGCUGAGCUCACGUGUCUAGAUGAAUUUCUGAUGUUUUCCCAGUGAGCCAGUAUAUAGGAACAUUUGUCAGUGAAUUCUUACAUUUGGUAUCGUGCAGCAAAGGCCCUUUGAAUAGAUAGGAAGAAACUGUGACCAAGUGUUUUGUUGGGACAAGUCACCAAAGUGAUUGUGCUGGUUUUGGUAGUGGGCUGCAUGUGCAUGAUAUCUGCUGGAGGGGCAACACGCCCCCACACCUAUACAUAAAUUCCUGCAACAAUACAUAGACAGGUGCAUUCACAACAUUAUGCCAAAAUAAGGCGAGAAACCUCCAUUUCCCCUUGUAACCUGAAAACUGACCAAUCAGGAGCCACUUCGUUUGACAGCCACCCAAUCAGAAACAGCGCUGGCAGCCCCUUAAACUUCAAAUCCCCUUAAUGGACAAUGGCCUUUAUAAGAAGAGCUGCGUAAAUAGCAGGCGAACUCUGCAGCGCUCAGAAAAACCCUCUGCAAAGAGCAGGUCAACAUCUCACCCAUCAAACAGCAGGGCUUAAAACUGAACCAUGAAAUCAUAGAACUGUAGAGCUGGAAGGGACCACGAGGGUCAUCUAGUCCAACCCGGUGCAACGCAGGAAUCUCUUGCUUUACAAAAAAGCUCAAGAUACAGGUUGAUCUACCCACACUGAGUUGUUAUCUCUGAGAAACGUAGAAAAUAACAGGAUAUAUUUACACGAAUUCUUCAAACUUUCACGACCCUUUAAAAAUUAGCUGAUGAAGGUGAAUACGUCGAAACAGGGCCCUGUCCUGGUUUCUGAUCCAUAAUUGACUUCUGACUUCUGCCCAGUGAUUGAAACUCAGACCCUCACGUCAAAUUUGACUAUGGACUAACAUGAACUUUUCUCUACUCAUAAACUCUUAUCUCUAAUACUGUAACGAAUCAUUGUAUUAUACAUAUCCUUAUGAGUUUGUAAUCUUUGUUUCAGUUUGUAAUCUCUAUUUGUGUUUGUAAUCCUUGUCAGAAUACUUACUUUUGAAUGGAUUAGUUUUUGUUACAAUUGACUAUUGAUUUGCAAGUAGGGACCACUCUCACUAUUGAAACUUAUAUUGGCCAGAGUUCUUGGUGUGCUUUUUUCUUGGUAUAUUUAAUAACAAGAACUCCAACUUAUUUAACAUCGUUCUCUAUCAACUGAGCCUUCCCAGGUUUGUGGAAAUCAUCAGUUAAGUCAAUAAAACCCUGUUGUAUGAAUGGAAAGCAAUGGAAAAACACUGUAAAUAUCCAAACUGUUUUAUUUUGUACAGGAGGGUAAAAUAAGAAAUACAAAAGCAUAAAUAAAGUGUUUCUGAGCCGCAGUGGUGGGCAGAGAAGGGGUGGCCAUAAUCCCAGAAGCAGAAGGGCACCAACUCGGACCUUUUCCUCUCAGCUGUCAAUGGGCCACCAGACCUGAUAAAGGGAAAGACAGAAAAUCAUACUGUAUACUCACAAUAUUGGCACAAGAGACUGGAUGAGCAGAACGGAGCUGACAUAACUGUAAUGCCAAAAGGAACGUAAAAUAUUUGCUCCGAGAGGAAAAGGCAGGCAAUACACUGACACCUUGACUGACAGGUGACAGGUCAUGGACUCAAAGGACUGUCUCUCACUCCACCUGUUUUAUGGCAGGGCAUGAGAUUUGAAUGAAGCUUCUCUGAAAUGAAUUGUGGAGGGGAAAUGUAACUUCUAAAAGGAGUUACAUGCCUUUGUUUGGGGCUUAUUCUUUCCUGGCUUAUAGGUUGAAAGCUUAUCGCAGCAAUAAAAACAAGGCUUAAUAGCUGCUUCUUGCUUUCCUAUACCUGGCUGUGGUUUCUUGAUUUAUCCUGACUGGUGAAAGGACCUCGCGGGGCGCGCUGCAACCAGGGAUACCCAGAUUUCAAGUCACCUUGGCAACCACGAAAGGACGAUGGGGCUGAAUAGCCGCUUUUUGCUGGCAUUUAUUUCUCUGACCUGCACGAGGACCUCUGGGGAUAACAGUACCCAGAUUUCCACUCAAAACCAGGGUGCAAACUGGGAGUUGCCUUGGAGCAUGCACAGAGUGCACACGAUGGGUGGGCAAAGGGGAAUGCUGAACCGCGGGCCCUCUCUCCCAUCCCCCUUUGGCCUGAGACUCCUGGCACCCCCCCACACCCUGCCUCCACCCAACCCAGGCAUGUCCUGUGUUGCUCCUGCAGUCAGAGAAGGGGGUCCUCUAGCCACUCGGGCAAACAGAUCCCCAAGUCCUGCUUCCCCUCCCUCUUUUUCCUGGACCAUAAGAGCAGGGCCCCCAUUUUCCGAGUAAGCUGGGCCUGCAUUGAGGCGUGUAGUGGUGAUAGGGGAUUCCCUACUGAGGGGAACAGAAGGAGUGAUCUGUGGGCCUGACAAGAUGUCUCGGGAAGUGUGCUGUCUCCCCGGGGCUAAGAUCCAAGAUGUGACUGAACGACUGCAAGGAAUCAUAAAACCCACUGACAAAUACCCCUUCCUCUUGGUUCAUGUGGGAACCAAUGACACUGCAAGCAAUAGCCUCCAGAAGAUCAAAAGAGACUACGAGGCUCUGGGCAGGAAAUUGAAGCAAUUAAAUGCAGAAAUUGUCAUCUCAUCUGUCCUCCCAGUUGAACGACGUGGCCCAGGGAGAGAGGGAAAAUAGUGGAAGUGAACAGCUGGCUUCGCAAAUGGUGUAAACAGGAACGGUUUGGAUUCUUAGAUCACGGACUGCAGUUUCUUGAAGAUGGACUUCUGGCAAGCGAUGGGCUGCACCUCACAACGUAUGGGAGAAAUGUUUUUGCCAAAAAUCUCAGAAACCUCAUCAGGAGGGCUUUAAACUGACUAAUGUGGGGGAGGGAGACAGUGCUCCUGAAGGUAGGAGUCUAUCAAUUGAUGAAGAUGAUCAACCAAAUGUCAUAGACCAAAUGGAGCAAACAGCACACAGUCCUAGUGGUGGGAGGAAAAAAUCCUUAAAUAAGAGUCACGGGGGAAUGAUUAAUGGACUUCAAUGUCUGUACACUAAUGCGCAAAGCAUGGGAAAUAAACAAGAUGAGCUUCAGCUCUUGGUACAGCAAACUAAAUAUGACAUAAUAGGCAUCACUGAAACCUGGUGGGAUAAGUCCCACGAUUGGAAUGUAAUAAUGGGGGGGAUACAAUCUAUUUCAGAGAAACAGACCAGACAAGAAAGGAGGAGGAGUGGCGUUAUAUGUCAGGGAUGUGUAUACCUGUGAAGAGAUCCAAGAUUUAGAACCUCAAAGCCAAAGUGAGAGCAUUUGGGUCAAAAUUAAGGGAGAGAAGAAUAACAGUGACCUCAUUGUGGGAGUUUACUAUAGAUCCCCAAGCCAAACGGAGGACAUAGAUGAUGCCUUCCUGGAACAGAUGGCCAAGCAUGCAAAAGGAAGGGAGAUAGUAGUAAUGGGGGACUUCAAUUACCCGGAUAUUUGUUGGAUGUCAAACUCAGCCAAGAGCAUAAGGUCAAACAGAUUCCUCACUGGCCUUGCAGACAACUUCAUUGUCCAGAAAGUGGGAGAAGCAACAAGAGGAACAGCCAUUUUAGAUCUGGUCCUAACCAAUGUUGAUGACCUGGUUAGUGGGGUAGAAGUGGAAGGAUCAUUAGGUGCGAGUGAUCAUGCUCUUCUGAAGUUUACUAUACAGCGGAAAGGAGCAGCCAAGCAUACUAGGACUCAAUUUCUUGACUUUAAGAAAGCUGACUUCAUAAAACUUAGGGAAGUGCUGGGUGAGAUCCCAUGGACAGUAAUACUAAAAGGAAAGGGAGUUCAUGAUGGCUGGGAGUUUGUUAAGAGGGAGAUAGUAAAAGCACAACGUCAGGCAAUACCAAUGAGACAGAAACAUGGAAGGUGCCUAAAGAAGCCAGGGUGGCUAUCUAAAGAACUUUUAACUGAGUUAAGAUUAAAAAGGGAUGUGUACAAAAAAUGGAAAAGGGGGGAAACCACCAAAGAGGAAUUCAAACAAAUAGCCAGCACGUGUAGACACAAAGUCAGAAAAGCUAAAGCACAGAAUGAACUCAGGCUUGCUAGAGAGGUUAAAAGCAACAAAAAGGCUUUUAUGGGUAUGUCCGUAGC
rnacentral:lncRNA from 1 species